rnacentral:rRNA from 1 species
AUGUAAUUACUAAUAGCAAAUGAUGGGAAAGUAUGGUGGCAGCAGCCGCGGUAAUACCAGCUUCAGUAGCAUAUAUUAAAAUUGUUGCAGUUAAAACGUCCGUAGUCUGUACGUCGUCCGAGGCUUUACUACAUCUCUGUAUGUUCUUAAUUGAGCGUAUAGCUGUUUGUAGUUACUCCCUUGAUCAAAAUAGAAUGUUCAAGGUAGACCAAGUCUUCAUAUUUUCACAUGGAAUUGGGUGAGGGAACUUAAGAGGUUAAGUUUCUCGUCUUAGGAUCAUCUGGGGUCAUUCGUACUCGUCCGCGAGAGGUGAAAUUCUUGGACCGGACGAAGACGAUCAGCAGCGAAAGCAUCUGUCAGGGAUGUUUUCUGCGACAAAGGACGAAGGUCAGGGUAUCGAAGACGAUUAGAUACCGUCGUAGUCCUGACUGUAAACUAUGCCGACUUGGGUCUUGCAGAGUCAAUACUUUGUGAGACCCACACAGAAAUGAAAGUGUAUGGGUUCUGGGGGUAGUAUGGACAAAAGUCUGAAACUUGAAGGAAUUGACGGAAGAGAACCAUAAGACGUGGAGCUUGCGGCUUAAUUUGACUCAACGCGGGAAAACUUACCAGGUCAAGACAUGGGCGUGAUUGACAGGCUAAUGACCUUUCUCGAUUCCUUGGAUGGUGGUGCAUGGUCGCACUUAGUUGGUGCAGUGAUUUGUCAGGUUUAUUCCGGUAACGAACGAGACCUCGGCCUUGUAAUUAGCUUUAUUGCUGCUUACAGGGACGAUGACGGCUACGUCAAGGAAGCUCGAGGCAAUUGCAGAUCUGGAAUGCCCUUAGAUGUCCUGGGUCGCACGCGUGCUACAAUGACGCCACGAGCGAGUUAGCGUGAUGAAAGUCACGCUAAAUCAUAAAUCGUCGUCUUAAGGGACAGUCUCUUGUAACUGUGGGACUCUAACUAGGAAUGUCUCGUAAGCACAAGUC